rnacentral:lncRNA from 1 species
GUCCUCCGCCGCCCGCCGCCCGUCCCUUCGGAAGCGCCGAUUCCUCGGGGAGGAGGAGGCGUGAGGGGAGGCGGCGGAGGCAGCCGGCACGGGGCGCUCGGGCCGCGGGGCAGGGGGCGCGGGGUGCCUCCUCGGCCUCGGCUCUCCCCGCCCCGGGGCGCCCCGAGACCGCCGCCUGCCUCCGCGGGCAGCUUUGUUCUUCUUUCCUCCAACUACCUGUCUGAGCCGCGGGCCCCAGAGGCCCCAAAGAGAGGCCCGGAGGGUCUCCCCAGCAGCAUCCGAGGGGCGCUCUCGGGGAGCUAGGGGCCAGAGUCCGCGGUCCCUCCGUGCCUGCCUCCCUCCCCUCGUGCCUCGGUCUUUUGUUGCCUCUACUCCUCGGCACGGCGCAGCCUGGGCUCUCUUCCCCCUCCCGCUUGGGAGUUUGCAGUGUGGACGCUCGGCAAGCACAAGUGCCAAGCAAGGAGAAUACAGCAGCUCACACUUAAGACUCAAACUCCCCAAUGGCUUGCAGGUAAGGGUUUUUAACAGAAGGGAUAAAUUUCAGGAAAACAAAUUAUAGGCAAAAUCAUAAAUCAAUAUAUGGAAGUUAUACAUUGGUUUGGCCUAAAAAGGCAGAAUAUCUUGAAGUGGGGUCUUACAGGUCAUAGACAGAUUCAAAGAUUUUCUGAUUUGCAAUUGGUUAAAGAAGGGAAUCUUUGUCUAAAGACUUGGAAUCAGCAGAAAAGAAUAUGAGAUCUGACUCGUGGUUGUUGCUUCCUCCACGCCCCUCAGAAAGAAACUUCGAACAACGCAUGGCAGUCAGAGUUCAGUCUACAGCCCCCCGUCAUCUGAGGUCUCCGUGCCAGUGGGUCCAUUUGGUGGGGGUCUGAGUUUCUGAAAACUCAGGGACAUAUAUUAUAACAUUAUCUUCACUUUCUCGAGGGAACCAAUGUCUCCUGAUUCUAGCUUCCUUGGCUAUUGUUUUAAGCUACUGUUACCUUCUCACUUACCAAGUUGCUCAUUUACUUCUUAGGAAUAGCUAGGUGCCUGGAAUUUCCCUUGAAGGAACUCAAGAUUUUCCUUUGAAAGCAGGGGUCCCUGCUUCAUCUCAGUUUCAUAAUAAAAGAAUCGAAGAUAACAAAUAUACACCAUGGAUACAACCUCAGUACCAAGCUUAGCAUGAAGUGGGAAUUCAAAAAUAAUAAUUAACAGUGUCAUCUAUUAAGACAAAACAUUUUGAGACAAUUAUGGAUUCACCCAUAAUUCCAGUAUGUCCUUUUUUUUUAAAGAAGUCUUUUAUAGUCGUGUUCUAUGGAGUUCUUUUCACAGCUUAAUUUUCUUCAAAUCAUUAUUAUUUCUCCUUCUUGUUUUCUUCAGUUUCAGUGCCAGUUAAAAGAAGUUGUACUCUAGCUAGUUUGAUUUUUUAAGUAGAUGCAGAGCUAAAUUUUUGCCUCAGGAUACAUUUUCCAAAUUCUCCUCCACCUCCUCAGUUUCCACCUCCUGUUAAAAGCACCUCCAUCAACCCUCACUUAGACAUUGCCUACUUGGGGGUUUUUGUCUUACCUUUGCAUUGAUCGCAUGAUUCCUGAGGACAAGGAUUCUGAGCUCUCUCAGAGGGCAAAGUACAUUGAGUUUGUUGCUUGUCUUAGGCAACAUUUUAAAGUAGGAGAAUAUAGAGCUCUCCUCUGAUGUCUGCAGCCUUCCCGGUUUUACCCCAUAAUUCUAAAACAAGAAUAGUAAAAAUCCCACCUCUCAUCCACUUGGGUCUGACUCUAUAGGACUUCUUAGGUGUUAUCCAGGUAAUUUGAUCAAUUAAUUAUAUUAAGAGGAAUCUUCUGGAAGCUGCUCCUAGAAGACUUGCCAAGCUCUCCCACAGACAAUGGCCUCCACCUUCUCCUUUUGUUAUCUAACCCCCAAGCGACUCAAGGGAUCUGAAUUUCAGAGUGAGUAGUGGUGGGGUCAGGCUGGUGGGGAACCUAUUUGAAAUGUUUGCACCGGCUUCCUGCCCAAUGGGUCGAAAGAGCUAUUUGAAUUUUGUGGCAAAAAAAAUUCUGUAUGCCUAAAAGAUGCCAGAUGGAGAAGGAAGUGGUGUGUUUAGCCACAGGAGAGAUACUGCAUGGAUAAUAGGUUCUCUACCCGCUUUUUGUCAACGUCAACAUCAGCUUGUCAGUCUGUUAGGUCGAUCAUAUGUAAGAAUAAUUCUCAGCAUUCAUCAACUGCUGAGACCUUCCCAAACCUAAUUUUAUUCUCAAGACAAACCUGUCAAUGAGGUUUUAUUGAUUGUUUCCAUCAUACACAUGGAGAAAUGGAGGCAGAGGUUUAGAGAGAAAAACAUGAGUCAGAGUGGGAAGGGAAUUAACCCAGGGGACAGUCUCUAUAGUUCUUCCCUCUGAGUUUGCUACAAAAAUAUUAUUUAUAAAUCAUUUGAAAUGGUGAUAACACUGAGCCCGCCAAUUCAAUCAAGAAACAGCCUCUAUGUUGUAGCUCCAUUUAUUUUUCACUGGCCAGAGGUAGUGCUGAGGUAACAAUUGUAAAGGUGAGAAGUCACAACUUCUAUUACGGAUAUCUAGGGAUACCUACUGAGGACGACUUGCCUGAGAGCUUAUGCUCCCAGCAUUGGUGAGAAGUGCUUUCUCCUUGCUGGCUUUGAGCCACUUCCCAGAGGAGUUCCUGCUCCUCUGUUUAGAAAUUGCAGAGUGGGUGUGGGCGUGCCAUGUUUCUUAAGUUGCCUAAGACCCAAAAGGUUAUUUUUAAAAAUGUAAAUAUACACCCAAACUCAUUGAAAUAAUGGUAAUGGGAAGAUUGAGCUGAAGACCGUGAUUGAGAAAUGCACGUUACCAUGGUAAUAACAGGGUGGGCAAGGCUAACUCUGGCCCUUCCACAUUUAUUUUAAACCAGUAGUUCUCAAAUAGUAGCGUGCAUCGGAAUACCCUAGAGGGCUUGUUAAGAAACAAGUUACCAGCCCCACCCCCAGACUUUCUAAUUUAGUAGAUCUGGAGUGGGCCUUAUAAUUUGCAUUUCUAACCAGUUCCCAGGUCUAGCCCUAGGGCCAAAUCCAUGUUUUCACCUGUUUUUGUAAGGUCUGCAAAUUAGUAAUAGUUUUUACAGAUGAACCUUUGCAAAUGAUUCCAUGAUAGGCAACACUAAUUUUGAACCCCAAUUAAGCAAAAUUCUGUCCCCCCUCACAAUUACAUUCUUUUCAUUAGUAGACCUGCAUUACACAAAAAUUGUACCCAAUAUUACAGUUUGAAUUUCAUCAAUGAAAACUUAGUGGAAUUUUGUUUUUCUCCCUUGUUAUAUAAUAACUACCCAGAUAAGAUGCUCAAUUUUGUUUCUUGGCCCACAAAGCCUAAAGUAUUUAUUCUCUAGACUGUUAAAGAAAAAAUUGCAGACCCCUGGCUUAACUGAUGCUGCUGAUGUGGGGAUGACUUUGAGAACCACGUAAGCCAUUUGCUAAGCUAAGUGUAGUAAACCCUCCUUCCACUGAUUUAAUACAAUUCCACGGGCCCAACUGUCCUGGACUAUCACACAAUGCCGAGAGAGAGGCACCACCCCUCAACCUACAAUGUUCCCCUCCAGGGAGCGAAGCUGCGGAGUCUAAAAACGUGAGGCAGUGGCUCAGCGUAGAGAAAGGAUAUUCCAAAACAUCUAAUGGGCACAACUGUAAGGGAAGUAACAUUUGUUUUGGGUGUUGUCCCACCUCUCAUUCUAAGCUGUUCCCAUCCCAGAUGCUGGGGACUCUGGGGAUUCUCUGACUCUGCAAUGUCCCCAACUCCUGCUCUCCAGUCAGACCUGCACCAUUGCAUCUGCAGCUAGCUCUGCAGUCAUGCCCCAAGUAAAUGCUGGUUAAGUAAUCUGAUUAUAAUCUUAGAAUUUAUAAGUCUGUGAUUUAUAUCAAAUAUUCAUGGUGUAUAUGACAGCUUCCUUUGUCAUAUGAUAUAGAAAUAUCUGUUACAUUAUAUAGAAAUUAGUGCACUGAAAAAAGUUUACUUUUUAAAAAAUCUUGACUAUUUUUGUCCCCACUCUUUAAUUCUGCUGUCAUUAGGAGAUUCUCAUAUUUAAAAGUGCUCAAAGCAAGGUAUUCUGUUGUAG